AGUUAAUUACAGCUGCUCUUAAUAAUAUUGAUGUAUUGAAAGAAAACAAAGUGAAGAGAUUAACUAUUGGAUACUGCACUGUGUAUGAGGUAAAGGACACCUCCACUGCUACUACAACAGAAAUAGAUGAAUACACUUCAUCAUUAUCAACUAGUAGUGGUUUAAUGAAACAAUUGAUGCUGUCAUUGAGUGUACAACUGAUUAAUAGUA